rnacentral:rRNA from 1 species
CACGCCGUAAACGGUGGGCACUAGGUGUGGGACCUCAUCAACGGGUUCCGCGCCGUAGCUAACGCAUUAAGUGCCCCGCCUGGGGAGUACGGCCGCAAGGUUAAAACUCAAAGGAAUUGACGGGGGCCCGCACAAGCGGCGGAGCAUGUGGCUUAAUUCGAAGAAACGCGAAGAACCUCACCUAGGCUUGACAUGUAGUGGAAAGCACCAGAGAUGGUGCCCUCUUCGGACCAUUACACAGGUGG